CAUGCUCAUCUAACCCUUUCUUCCCAUAAAACUCCUAAAACUAUCCAUCAAACAUGCUUAAAACAUCAUAAAACGUAGAGAUCAACCCUUACCUCUUGAGUUGGUGUGACCUCAACUUCAAAACGUGGAGCACCAAGCUUUGCAAGCUGCAACUCCAAAAUUUGCUCAAAACCGUCAAAACCAAGUUAAAGCUUACUAAAACUUUGAA
rnacentral:lncRNA from 1 species